rnacentral:rRNA from 1 species
GCGGAGGUGGUCUUCCGUGGUCAAGCACGCAGGGCGUGGGACAGGCAAAUCCGUCCCGCAUGGGUCCGAGGUGCGAUGAUGGGGGCCUUAUGGCCCGAUAUCCGGUGAUCCCGGCUGCCGAGAAAAGCUUCGGCGUCAGGCUCAAAGCCGCCCGUACCCCAAACCGACACUGGUGGUCAGGUAGAGAAUACCAAAGCGAUCGAGCGAAUCCUGGUCAAGGAACUCGGCAAAUCACUCCCGUUCCUUCGGUUUAAGGGAGACCCCCGAUGGUGAACACACUUGCUGUGGGAGCUUUUGGGGGUGGCACAGACCAGGGGGUAGCGACUGUUUACCAAAAACACAGGUGCAUGCGAAGGCGCAAGCCGCUGUAUAUGCACUGACGCCUGCCCGGUGCCGGAAGGUUAAGAGGAUCCGUCAGCCUUCGGGUGAAGCGGUGAAUUCAAGCCCCGGUAAACGGCGGUGGUAACUAUAACCAUCCUAAGGUAGCGAAAUUCCUUGUCGGGUAAGUUCCGACCUGCACGAAUGGCGUAACGACUUCCCCACUGUCUCGACCAGGAGCUCGGCGAAAUUGCAGUACGAGUAAAGAUGCUCGUUAAGCGCAGAAGGACGAAAAGACCCCGGGACCUUUACUAUACCUUGGUAUUGGCAUUCGGUGUGGAUUGUGUAGCAUAGGCGGGAGGCCGAGAGGCGCGGUCGCCAGAUCGCGCGGAGCCGUAAGGUGAAAUACCGCUCUGUUCGCAUUGGAUGUCUAACCUCGAACAGUCAUCCUGUUCAGGGACAGUGCCUGGCGGGUAGUUUAACUGGGGCGGUUGCCUCCCAAAGAGUAACGGAGGCGCUCAAAGGUCCGCUCGGCCCGGUUGGCAAUCGGGUGUCGAGUGUAAUCGCACAAGCGGGCUUGACUGCGAGAUCGACGGAUCGAGCAGGGACGAAAGUCGGAGAUAGUGAUCCGGUGCCGGCGCACGGGCGCGGCAUCGCUCAACGGAUAAAAGGUACCCCGGGGAUAACAGGCUGAUCAUUCCCAAGAGUCCAUAUCGACGGGAUGGUUUGGCACCUCGAUGUCGGCUCGUCGCAUCCUGGGGCUGGAGCAGGUCCCAAGGGUUCGGCUGUUCGCCGAUCAAAGCGGCACGCGAGCUGGGUUCAGAACGUCGUGAGACAGUUUGGUCUCUAUCCUCUGCGCUCGUUGGAAUCUUGAGGAGGCCUGCCCAUAGUACGAGAGGACCUGGGUGGACGAACCUCUGGUAUGCCGGUCGUCACGCCAGUGGCGCGGCCGGUUGGCUACGUUCGGAAGGGAUAACCGCUGAAAGCAUCUAAGCGGGAAGCCUGCUCCAAGAUAAGCAUUCCGUGGAACCUUCGAGUUCCUGUAGUCCCCAUGCAGAACACGUGGUCGAUAGGCCGGACG